CAGCCGCCGCGGGAAAACGAAGGGGGCUAGCGUUGCUCGGAAUUACUGGGCGUAAAGGGAGCGUAGGCGGAUGAAUUAGUCAGGGGUGAAAUCCCGGGGCUCAACCUCGGAACUGCCUUUGAUACUGUUCAUCUUGAGUAUGGGAGAGGUGUGUGGAACUCCGAGUGUAGAGGUGAAAUUCGUAGAUAUUCGGAAGAACACCAGUGGCGAAGGCGACACACUGGCCCAUUACUGACGCUGAGGCUCGAAAGCGUGGGGAGCAAACAGGAUUAGAUACCCGCGUAGUCCCUGUCUCUUAUAU
rnacentral:rRNA from 1 species